AUUGAACGCUGGCGGCAUGCUUUACACAUGCAAGUCGAACGGCAGCGCGGGCUUCGGCCUGGCGGCGAGUGGCGAACGGGUGAGUAAUAUAUCGGAACGUACCCAGGAGUGGGGGAUAACGUAGCGAAAGUUACGCUAAUACCGCAUCCGGCCUAAGGGAGAAAGCGGGGGAUCGCAAGACCUCGUGCUCAUGGAGCGGCCGAUAUCUGAUUAGCUAGUUGGUGGGGUAAAGGCUCACCAAGGCAACGAUCAGUAGCUGGUCUGAGAGGACGACCAGCCACACUGGAACUGAGACACGGUCCAGACUCCUACGGGAGGCAGGAGUGGGGAAUUUUGGACAAUGGGGGCAACCCUGAUCCAGCAAUGCCGCGUGAGUGAAGAAGGCCUUCGGGUUGUAAAGCUCUUUUGUCAGGGAAGAAACGACUCCUUCUAAUACAGGGGGUUAAUGACGGUACCUGAAGAAUAAGCACCGGCUAACUACGUGCCAGCCGCCGCCGUAAUAC
rnacentral:rRNA from 1 species